AUGGGUAAAGACCCUAAGGUUGGAGGAAGCGGAGUAGAUACUAACAAGCCGUCAAACGCCAACACACGCCAAGGUAAAGCUAAGGAUUAGCGGAUUCAGAUGAUGUCGUAGCUUAGUUCUUAUCUAUUUUUUUGUAAUUGGGAUACUCAUGUGCUGUUUUGUAUUAUGCACAUACUUAUAUCCAGUAUUUGAACGAAUUGACUUGUAAUUACGCUUUUAGGGAU